GGGUGGUUUCCCGAGUGGCCAAAGGGGACAGACUGUAAAUCUGCUGUAGAUUGCUUCGGUGGUUCGAAUCCACCACCACCCA
rnacentral:tRNA from 1 species